ACGGCGUGCCUAUUGAAGAAUGAACCGGCGAGUUACUUCAGCUAGCGAGGUUAAGCGGAAAACGUGGAGCCGAAGCGAAAGCGAGUCUGAACAGGGCGUAUAGUUAGUUGGAGUAGACCCGAAACCACAGUGAUCUACCCAUGUCCAGGUUGAAGCACAGGUAAAAAUGUGUGGAGGACCGAACCAGUGAGCGUUGAAAAGCUUUUGGAUGAGAUGUGGGUAGGGGUGAAAUGCCAAUCGAACGUGGAGAUAGCUGGUUCUCCCCGAAAUAGCUUUAGGGCUAGCCUCAUGGCGAGAGUACAGGCGGUAGAGCACUGAACGGGGUAGGGGCCUAUCCGGCUACUGAACCUAAUCAAACUGCGAAUGGCUGUACUUAUCCAUGGGAGUCAGACUGUGAGUAAUAAGGCCCAUAGUCAAGAGGGAAACAGCCCAGACCAACAGCUAAGGUCCCCAAUGCCGUACUAAGUGGCGAAGGAUGUGGAAUUUCGAAAACAACCAGGAUGUUGGCUCAGAAGCAGCCACCAUUAAAAGAGUGCGUAAUAGCUCACUGGUCGAGAGACUCUGCGCCGAAGAUGUCCGGGGCUAAAGUACGGAACCGAAGCUUUGGCAAUUGACAUUAGUCAAUUGGGUAGGGGAGCGUUCCUGCAUGGGAGAAGCCUGACCGGAAGGACAGGUGGACAGGCAGGAAGAGAGAAUGCCGGUAUGAGUAGCGAAAAGAAGGGUGAGAAUCCCUUCCACCGAAAGCCUAAGGGUUCCUGGGCAACGAUCGUCGUCCCAGGGUAAGUCGGGACCUAAUCCGAGGCGGAGACGCGUAGGAGAUGGACAACAGGUUGAAAUUCCUGUACUGGCUGAGGCCGUUUGAGCGAAGGAGUGACACAGGAAGGAAGGCGCGCGUGCGAUUGGAAGAGCACGUCCAAGCAGGUAGGUUGGGAGACAGGCAAAUCCGUUUCCCGAGAGGCCGAGAUGCGAUGGGGAGCUUCUGGAGACAGAAGCGAAGGGGCUGGCACUAAACUGUCGAGAAAAGCUUCUAGUGAGGACUCAGGCACCCGUACCGCAAACCGACACAGGUAGGCAGGAUGAGAAUUCUAAGGUGCGCGGGAAAACCCUCGUUAAGGAACUCGGCAAAAUAUAUCCGUAACUUCGGGAAAAGGAUAACCCAGCGUACGUGAAGUGCAGAAGCGCACGGAGCGGAGAUGGGUGGCAGAAGAGAGGCCCAAGCGACUGUUUACCACAAACACAGGCGUCUGCUAAAGCGAAAGCUGAUGUAUAGAUGCUGACACCUGCCCGGUGCUGGAAGGUUAAGAGGAAGUGUUAGCGCAAGCGAAGCAGUGAAUUGAAGCCCCAGUAAACGGCGGCCGUAACUAUAACGGUCCUAAGGUAGCGAAAUUCCUUGUCGGGUAAGUUCCGACCCGCACGAAAGGUGUAACGAUUUGGGCACUGUCUCAACGAGGGACCCGGUGAAAUUGAAGUACCUGUGAAGAUGCAGGUUACCCGCGACUGGACAGAAAGACCCCAUGGAGCUUUACUGUAACCUGAGAUUGGAUUCCGGUAAGAGAUGUACAGGAUAGUUGGGAGGCUGAGAAGUGAGUACGCCAGUAUUCACAGAGCCAUUGGUGGGAUACCAACCUUGUUUUAUUGGAAUUCUAACGAGAAGCGUAACGAGCUUGCGGACAGUCUCAGGCGGGCAGUUUGACUGGGGCGGUCGCCUCCGAAAGAG
rnacentral:rRNA from 1 species